rnacentral:rRNA from 1 species
AACGAACGCUGGCGGCAGGCUUAACACAUGCAAGUCGAACGCCCCGCAAGGGGAGUGGCAGACGGGUGAGUAACGCGUGGGAAUCUACCCAGAACUUCGGAACAACUGAGGGAAACUUCAGCUAAUACCGGAUACGCCCUACGGGGAAAGAUUUAUCGGUUCUGGAUGAGCCCGCGUUGGAUUAGCUAGUUGGUGGGGUAAUGGCCUACCAAGGCGACGAUCCAUAGCUGGUCUGAGAGGANGAUCAGCCACACUGGGGCUGAGACACGGCCCAGACUCCUACGGGAGGCAGCAGUGGGGAAUAUUGGACAAUGGGCGAAAGCCUGAUCCAGCCAUGCCGCGUGAGUGAUGAAGGCC